rnacentral:rRNA from 1 species
CAGCCGCCGCGGGAACACGUAGGGUGCAAGCGUUAAUCGGAAUUACUGGGCGUAAAGCGUGCGCAGGCGGUUAUAUAAGACAGAUGUGAAAUCCCCGGGCUCAACCUGGGAACUGCAUUUGUGACUGUAUAGCUAGAGUACGGCAGAGGGGGAUGGAAUUCCGCGUGUAGCAGUGAAAUGCGUAGAUAUGCGGAGGAACACCGAUGGCGAAGGCAAUCCCCUGGGCCUGUACUGACGCUCAUGCACGAAAGCGUGGGGAGCAAACAGGAUUAGAUACCCCCGUAGUCCCUGUCUCUUAUAC